rfam:Piloderma croceum F 1598 unplaced genomic scaffold scaffold_00042, whole genome shotgun sequence.
AGACUGGUAGCUAAGUGGUUAGAGCACCACACUGGAGUGACAGGGUCCUGGGUUCAAUCCCCAGCCAGUUCC